AUUGAACGCUGGCGGCAGGCCUAACACAUGCAAGUCGAACGAGUGGCGGACGGGUGAGUAAUGUCUGGGAAUCUGCCUGAUGGAGGGGGAUAACUACUGGAAACGGUAGCUAAUACCGCAUACUAUCAGAUGUGCCCAUAUGGGAUUAGCUCGUGGGUGGGGUAACGGCUCACCAAGGCGACGAUCCCUAGCUGGUCUGAGAGGAUGACAAGCCACACUGGAACUGAGACACGGUCCAGACUCCUACGGGAGGCAGCAGUGGGGAAUAUUGCACAAGGGGCGCAAGCCUGAUACAGCCAUGCCGCGUGUAUGAAGAAGGCCUUAGGGUUGUAAAGUACUUUCAGCGGGGAGGCGUUACCCGCAGAAGAAGCACCGGCUAACUCCGUGCCAGCAGCCGCGGUAAUAC
rnacentral:rRNA from 1 species